GAAAUGCGAUAAUUAAUGUGAAUUGCAGAAUUCAGUGAAUCAUCGAGUCUUUGAACGCACAUUGCGCCCCCUGGUAUUCCGGGGGGCAUGCCUUUCCGAGCGUCAUUGCUGCCCUCAAGCACGGCUUGUGUGUUGGGCUUCCGUCCCUGGCAACGGGGACGGGCCCAAAAGGCAGUGGCGGCACCAUGUCUGGUCCUCGAGCGUAUGGGGCUUUGUCACCCGCUCCCGUAGGUCCAGCUGGCAGCUAGCCUCGCAACCAAUCUUUUUAACCAGGUUUACCUCGGAUCAGGUAGGGAUACCCGCUGAACUUAAGC
rnacentral:misc_RNA from 1 species